UAUAGGUUCUAUCUCAGGCCUUUGCACCUUAAUUGCAACAUCCUCGCCUGUAUCUCGUAAGGUAGCUCGGUAAACUUGACCCAAGCUUGCAGCUGCUAUUGUUUGUGAUGAAAUUUUGGUGAAUACAGCUUCCAGAGGUUGGCCCAAUUCCUCUUCUAUAAUUUUGAAAGCAACCUGAUUGGGGAAAGGAGGAACAUCAUCUUGAAGAAUGCAGAGCUCAUUCAUGUAAUCUUCUCUAAUGAUAUCAGGUCUGUUGGCGAGAACCUGCCCAGCUUUGAUAAAAGAAGGUCCUAAAUCGCACAAGAGGUUUCUCAGCUGACGAGCACGAUAUGGAACAACCUCUUUAUCCCUUCCUACCAAGCAAUCAUACAUCAAGGCAGACCAGUACAAUCCCAAAUUCCACACUAUUUCCACUCCACGUAACAUUAGAGACACUAUAGAUGCUCUGGAUUCCAAUACCUUAUUCCUCACUGUCUCGGG
rnacentral:misc_RNA from 1 species